rnacentral:rRNA from 1 species
AUUGAACGCUGGCGGCAUGCCUUACACAUGCAAGUCGAACGGUAACAGGUCUUCGGAUGCUGACGAGUGGCGAACGGGUGAGUAAUACAUCGGAACGUGCCUAGUAGUGGGGGAUAACUACUCGAAAGAGUGGCUAAUACCGCAUGAGAUCUACGGAUGAAAGCAGGGGAUCGCAAGACCUUGUGCUACUAGAGCGGCCGAUGGAAGAUUAGGUAGUUGGUGGGAUAAAAGCUUACCAAGCCGACGAUCUGUAGCUGGUCUGAGAGGACGAUCAGCCACACUGGGACUGAGAAACGGCCCGGACUCCUACGGGAGGCAGCAGUGGGGAAUUUUGGACAAUGGGCGCAAGCCUGAUCCAGCAAUGCCGCGUGCAGGAUGAAGGCCUUCGGGUUGUAAACUGCUUUUGUACGGAACGAAAAGCCCCGGGUUAAUACCCUGGGGUCAUGACGGUACCGUAAGAAUAAGCACCGGCUAACUACGUGCCAGCAGCCGCCGUAA